rnacentral:ncRNA from 2 species
GCGGAUACCUCGGGGGGCCCGUUCGGGCUGAGACGCGUGAUCGCGGACCCGUUGAACCUGAUCCGGUUGACCCCGGCGGAGGGAAGGUUUCGCUGCCCUUU